GAUGGAGCUGACAGAUGGCUUUGCCAUUCUUCUUAUAUAUGCAGCCCUAAAACAGAUGCUCACACAAUAUUCCUAAAAACUGCUUACCAUCCAGUGCCUUUCUGGUAAGUAGGGAUAUUUAAUAAAGAAUAAGGUCAUGAAUAUACACUAGCCUCUAGCUAGGUCCUCUAGCAAGCAGUUGUAAGAAAAUAAGCAUUGUUAACAUUGAGUCAUCUACAGUAACAAACCAUAAAAUAAUACAGCCUAGAGAGGGAAAAGACCGAUUAAGUCAUCCACUCCAUCUCCUGCCAAGGCAGGCUUCUUUUCUGCCAUAUAUUAUUAAGUGCUUUGUUCAGCCUAAUUUUAAAUUAUUCAAGCAAUUUGAUAUUCACUCUUCCCUUCAGGAGACUACUCUCCAAUUCAAUUCAGAGGUAUGUUUAUUUAUUCCUUGCUCUAUAAAUAAAAUGUUCUUUGCCUAUCUGCACUACCUCAAAAAUUUCUUUUCAAAUUCCUUUUUUCUUUUAAAUUUGUUUUAUUACUAUUGGAGCUGAGAUGUAAAAUGGGCUACGUAAUGGACUUUGGAUGAAACAAAGACAUGAAGUUCUCCUGGAAAAGUAAAUAAAAGGAAGGUGUUUUCUUUGGGUUUGUUUGUUUGUUUAAUUUUGCACUGUAUCUUUAUACACCUCACAAACCAAAGCCAAAUAAAAUAGUAGCCUUUGCACACUGUUGAAUAACUUCUCCAGCCUGCCUCCAACUAUGGCUGUGGCAGUAAGCAUCCCAAGCAGCAGUGGGGGAGAUAUUUUGGGAGCCAUGCAAGAGACAAGGAGGCAGGAAGGCAGGGAGGAAUGGCUGCCCAGCACCCUGACAAGUGAGCUCACUGCCCAUGGACUGUCCUUGGCAGCAGCAGCUUCCUGCAGAGCUGUGCAUGUGGUGGUGUGGUUCUGACUCGAGCAUGCCAAGGGUUUCUAAACUUUUAUGCUUCUCAGAAAUGUAAGAUCAGCUCAGGAAAGCCCUGCAGACCUUGUUGGGUCCUGUGGAUUGCUGGGAGAGGUGUCACAAGGGGAACGACCAAGCACUAAAUGUACAGGACAGCAGAAAACACAGGUGUUCAUCUGUGCCAUGUCAAGUGUUCCAGCAAGCUCGUCCCCAGCCUUAUGCUCCGGUACACUUUACAAGAAGUUUUCAGGUAAUGGGAGUUUAAAAAUUAACUGGUGCACCCUGUGCUGCACACUCAUGAGCCAGAGCCCUUUGAAGUGGGUAGAAAAAUCCCCACAAUGUCAAAGGGCUUUGAAGCUGGCUCUGGGCACAAAGAGACAGUGGUUAAUUUUAUACUGGGACACAGAGGAGCUCUGCCACCCCUGCCACCCCAGCAGGGAACAGCUGCUGGGGACACUGCAGGGCAGAUCCCAGGCAUGGAUGUUGGGCAGCCAGCCAGCACAGCAUCCAUCCUGCAGCCGUGCCUCUGGCUGGCACCUGCCUCCUGCUAGCCAGAUUUAG
rnacentral:lncRNA from 1 species